rnacentral:rRNA from 1 species
AUGAUAGGUCUAUUUUGGAAUUGUAGGGGGGCAGGGAAAAAAGGGAUGAAAACCUGUCUUUCCCAUAUGAUUAAGGACCAUUCCCUUGACUUUAUGUGUCUGCAAGAAACGCUUAAGAAGAAUUUUUUGGAUAGUUAUUUUAGGAAGCUCGAUCCAUACAACUUGUUUGAGUGGGAAUGGAUCCCCUCAAUUGGCAAGGCUGGGGGCAUUCUGUGUGGGGUUCGGAAGGAGAAGUUUGAGGUAGUUGCUUGGAGAAAAGGCAGGUUCAUUCUCCAGGUAUCUCUCUAUGAUAUUAAUAUGAAGAAGAUUUGGACUCUUUGCAGUGUUUAUGGAGCAGCCCAUGAGGGGGAUAAAAAUGAUUUCCUUAGUGAAUUGGCUGAUUUCUGCUGCCAUAUUCAAACACCUUUGUUGAUUGGGGGAGAUUUCAAUAUCCUCAGACACGAUGGAGAGAAGAAUAAAAGAUGGCGUCGAACAGCACAUUCUGACCUGUUCAAUUCGAUCAUCAACACUAUGUGUUUGAGUGAGACUUAUAUGAGUGGGGGGACUUACACUUGGUCUAAUAACCAAGCUCAUCCUACCCUGGAGAAAUUGGAUCGUGUUCUUAUGAGUAAUGAAUGGGAGGAGAUGUUUCCUAUGGUUAAUAUGAAGAAACUCGUUCGGGAGGUGUCUGAUCACAAUGCACUCUUAUUGUACUCUGAUAAUCAUGUUAUCAGAGCCCCACAAAAAAGAGAGUUCCGAUUCGAAAUGAGCUGGCUAAAAUCUGAGGACUUUAUUCCUCUAGUUAGCAAGAUCUGGAAUCAGAAUGUGAAUGCUACCGACCCUGUUGAUAUUCUAAAUAUCAAAUUAAAAAGAUUUAAGAAGUUUUUCAAAGGCUGGGGGUCGAGCAACUUUGGUCAUGAAAAGAAAAGGAAGCAAGAGAUUAGAGAAGAACUUGCUCUCAUUGAAAAAGCAGAAGAGGAAGGGACUAUAGAUGAUGAGAUGUUUUGUAGGAAGACUGAUCUCCUUGUGGAGAUGAAUGAAAUCCUUGUCAAUGAGGAGCUUUUUCUGCUGCAGCAAUCGAAUGAGAGAUGGCUGCUUGGGGGGAUCGUAACACCGCUUACUACCAAAAAAUUGCUAACUGUAAUAAGCGGAAAAACACGAUACAUUCUCUUCAUGUGGGGGAUGCAGUGA